rnacentral:rRNA from 1 species
UACGUAGGCAGCGAGCGUUGUUCGGAGUUACUGGGCGUAAAGGGUGUGUAGGCGGUUCUUUAAGUUUGGCGGGAAAUCUCCCGGCUCAACCGGGAGGGUGCGUCGAAUACUGAGGGACUAGAGUACGGGAGAGGAAAGUGGAAUUCCUGGUGUAGCGGUGAAAUGCGUAGAUAUCAGGAGGAACACCGGUGGUGUAGACGGCUUUCUGGACCGUAACUGACGCUGAGACACGAAAGCGUGGGUAGCAAACAGG